rnacentral:rRNA from 1 species
UACGGGGGGGGCAAGCGUUGUUCGGAAUUACUGGGCGUAAAGCGUACGUAGGCGGCUUUGUAAGUUAGAGGUGAAAGCCUGGAGCUCAACUCCAGAACUGCCUUUAAGACUGCAUCGCUUGAAUCCAGGAGAGGUGAGUGGAAUUCCGAGUGUAGAGGUGAAAUUCGUAGAUAUUCGGAAGAACACCAGUGGCGAAGGCGGCUCACUGGACUGGUAUUGACGCUGAGGUACGAAAGCGUGGGGAGCAAACAGG